CGCGUAGGUGGUUUGUUAAGUUGGAUGUGAAAUCCCCGGGCUCAACCUGGGAACUGCAUUCAAAACUGACUGACUAGAGUAUGGUAGAGGGUGGUGGAAUUUCCUGUGUAGCGGUGAAAUGCGUAGAUAUAGGAAGGAACACCAGUGGCGAAGGCGACCACCUGGACUGAUACUGACACUGAGGUGCGAAAGCGUGGGGAGCAAACA
rnacentral:rRNA from 1 species